ACUUGGACUGAAAUGGAAACAUGGAGCCAUUUCAAACUCAAACACUAGAUGAGGAAAGUGACUUGAGGACCCAUGUUUCGAGAAUAGAACUUGAUUUGAUUUGUUAGGUAACUUGAGUCUGAUGGAAAUGUGAGUUGGUUCACCCCAACGAUCUCUUGCUUUAUGUAAUGUUCACUCGUAACGGAGGAGGACUCACGUGGAAUAUCCCGCCAGUGAUGGACUGAUGAUGGCGUAUUCUUGAAUACUUGAUCAUUUCUUGGAAUUCACCUCAGUGAUAAAUUUGAGAAACACUUUUCUGUUUACACUUUUUCAUACGGCUUCUAGACAUCAAUAAAAGGCUUUGUGAAAUUGGACUAUUUCAGCUGUCCCUGUUGUCCAUUCAUGCGAAAAAGAGUGGACUGUAGCAACAAUCAGAUGCCACACGAUCAUGGAUGGCAGUGAUACAGAAUAUGGAUCCACAUGCAUGGGUUGUGCAAAAAUAAAAGAAGAAAGAAUAAGUGAUGGCUGAAAUAUCCUGAGUUGGUAGUCUGCUGGUCCGACUUAUUGCAAGCUGACGUGAACGCGUCGAGUCAUCGCAACGAUUUGCUCGAAUGGCCCUGCGAGCACAUCACGACUUGCCGGCUAGGAUGUUCACGGGUCUUCAUGGAAAAUAACGCAUAGUACAUUGCUGUGCUGACUGCGCAGCUAUAAAAGACACAGGACGAAAAACAGCCAGUCGAUGCAAGAGAUAACAAUCGUUCCGUUACGAUCUACUAACCCCCAGAUAAGUCAUCACUUAUGUUUUCUAUAGUGUAAAUAUAUAUAAUACAGUACUACAAAUUUCUUUCUCUUUCCCUGGCUCCUAUUCUAGGAUUCUUUUUCAUGUUUGGAGAUAUCCAGAAGAAAGGCAAAAAAAGAACACAAGAUGAACAAGAGAAAAAGAUUAGGAAUGCUCCGCUUGUAGCUCGGCCGUGUCCCGCUUGCGGCGACAACGAGAAAAAGGGAAUCGAAUC